rnacentral:rRNA from 1 species
GGGGAACGGAGCAGCUUGCUGCUUCGCUGACGAGUGGCGGACGGGUGAGUAAUGUCUGGGAAGCUGCCUGAUGGAGGGGGAUAACUACUGGAAACGGUAGCUAAUACCGCAUAAUGUCGCAAGACCAAAGAGGGGGACCUUCGGGCCUCUUGCCAUCGGAUGUGCCCAGAUGGGAUUAGCUUGUUGGUGGGGUAACGGCUCACCAAGGCGACGAUCCCUAGCUGGUCUGAGAGGAUGACCAGCCACACUGGAACUGAGACACGGUCCAGACUCCUACGGGAGGCAGCAGUGGGGAAUAUUGCACAAUGGGCGCAAGCCUGAUGCAGCCAUGCCGCGUGUAUGAAGAAGGCCUUCGGGUUGUAAAGACUUUCAGCGGAGGAAAGGUUGAAGGUUAAUACCCUUCAGCUGUGACGUUACCCACAGAAGAAGCACCGGCUAACUCCGUGCCAGCAGCCGCGGUAAUACGGAGGGUGCGAGCGUUAAUCGGAAUUACUGGGCGUAAAGCGUGCGUAGGCGGCUACCUAAGUUGGAUGUGAAAGCCCCGGGCUCAACCUGGGAACUGCGUCCAAAACUGGGUGGCUAGAGUACGGGAGAGGAGUGUGGAAUUUCCUGUGUAGCGGUGACAUGCGUAGAUAUAAGAAGGAACACCA